rnacentral:rRNA from 1 species
CUCCGACCUCAGAUCAGGCGAGAACACGCCCUGAACUUAAGCAUAUCACUAAGCGGAGGAAAAGAAACUAACC